rnacentral:rRNA from 1 species
GGAGUACGCCGGCAACGUGAAACUCAAAGGAAUUGACGGGGGCCCGCACAAGCGGAGGAACAUGUGUUAAUUCGAUGAUACGCGAGGAACCUUACCCGGGCUUGAACUGCAGGAGAAGGAUACAGAGAUGUUGAUGCCCUUCGGGGCUCCUGUGGAGGUGCUGCAUGGUUGUCGUCAGCUCGUGCCGUGAGGUGUCGGCUUAAGUGCCAUAACGAGCGCAACCCUUUUCUUCAGUUGCCAUCAGGUGAUGCUGGGCACUCUGGAGACACUGCCACCGUAAGGUGUGAGGAAGGUGGGGAUGACGUCAAAUCAGCACGGCCCUUACGUCCGGGGCUACACACGUGUUACAAUGGGUGGUACAGAGAGUCGGUCGUCUGCAAAUGCGAUCCAAUCCUUAAAGCCAUCCUCAGUUCGGAUUGGGGUCUGCAACCCGACCCCAUGAAGCUGGAUUCGCUAGUAAUCGCGCAUCAGCCCUGGCGCGGUGAAUACGUUCCCGGGCCUUGUACACACCGCCCGUCAAGCCAUGAAAGCCGGGGGCGCUUGAAGUCCGUGACCGCAAGGAUCGGCCUAGAGCGAAACUGGUAAUUGGGGCU